rnacentral:rRNA from 1 species
UACGUAGGUGGCGAGCGUUGUCCGGAAUUAUUGGGCGUAAAGGGUGCGUAGGCGGUCUUUUAAGUGAGAUGUGAAAUACACAGGCUUAACUUGUGAAUUGCAUUUCAAACUGGAAGGCUUGAGUGCAGGAGAGGAAAGCGGAAUUCCCAGUGUAGUAGUGAAAUGCGUAGAUAUUGGGAGGAACACCAGUGGCGAAGGCGGCUUUCUGGACUGUAACUGACGCUGAUGCACGAAAGCGUGGGGAGCAAACAGGAUUAGAUACC